rnacentral:sRNA from 1 species
ACAAAGGAAAGUUUUUUAUUAUAAAUAGAAGACAUGUAAGAUUAUAAAUACAAUCUCCUUUAAUUGAAUUUCAACAAUUCAAUUUCCCAAAAAUAUCUCUAAAAAAACUAGAGACACAAACAUGUUACGUUGAAUGGAAGACAAAUGUUUUGCCGAGUUACUUUCUUAUAUGUCAGGCCCCAAUGUAGUUGAUCACUAAUUGAAAGCAGGUUGGUCAUUGAGACACUAUUCAGGGCCCAAUGUAGUUGAUCAAUAAUUGAAAGCAGGUUGGUCAUUGAGACACUAUUCAGGGCCCAAUGUAGUUGAUCAAUAAUUGAAAUCAGGUUGGUCAUUGAGACACUAUUCAGGGCCCAAUGUAGUUGAUCAAUAAUUGAAAGCAGGUUGGUCAUUGAGACACUAUUCAGGGCCCAAUGUAGUUGAUCAAUAAUUGAAAUCAGGUUGGUCAUUGAGACACUAUUCAGGGCCCAAUGUAGUUGAUCAAUAAUUGAAAUCAGGUUGGUCAUUGAGACACUAUGUUCUAUGUCAGUGUUUCACAACGUUUUUUGCUUGAGACAUUACCCAUCCCAAACAAAGAAACGUUCACGCAGGGUUUAACUCUUUCUCUCCUAAUUGACGAUGCCAACGUUGAUUUGACUCCCAAUAAACUUUAUUGGUUUUUGGAUUUAUUAACUUUAAUUUGUGUUGUGUAAAAAAAAAAA